CCUAAUUGCCUCUUUCUCUCUCCACAUUCUCUUGCCUCUCUCUCUUCUCCACCCUCUCCGCCCUCCCACCUCCAUCCCUCUCGCCACGCCACCCUCUCAACUCUCCCAUCGCGCCACCUCCGCUGCCCACCCACCUCCGUCCUCUGCCUCCGCCGCCCUCUUGUCUCCCCUCUCUCUGUCUUUUUUUUAGAAAUUAGGGCUCGCCUAAUACAACCGCCCUCACCGCCUCUUUUUCAGAAAUUGAAAGAUUUCUAUUUUUAAUUUUUUUGUUGUUGCCGUUUUAAUUUCUCUGUGGUGGUGUUUUUUAUGUGGCGCUCAUGAUUCCUGUGUGGUAGAAGAGGGUGAAACGCCGAGAAGACUAGAAGCUAAGCUUGAGGUGCAUGUGGAGGAUUUUGGGAUGUGAUGGCCGCAGCUAGCCCCACUGAGAAUCUUAAUGCUUGUUUUGAGAGCAUCCCUGUAUCUUCUUUCUCUUAUGCUCCUUCGUCAGAAUGUAACUUCUCUCUUUAAUCUAAUUAUUGAUUUCUAUUGUGGCUG
rnacentral:lncRNA from 1 species